ensembl:lncRNA novel transcript
CCUUUGGUCCUAAUAUCAGCGCCAACGUGGAUUCACAGCCAAAAGGAGUUCAUGAUGCAUCUCCCAUGGAAAGAGCUUAUACCUCAAACCCACAAGGCUCCCCUCUACAUUCACCACAUGGAGAACAGACCAGCCAAAACCUCUCAGGAGGUGGAGUAUUUGCCAGUAACUCUCUGGAGAUCUGUCUUAUCUGUGACCAAGACAACGAAGCUUAAAAAAAGGCAAUAAUGUUGGAAAAAGACAUGAAUAUGGUCUGUAUUAAAUUGAUUCUACUUUUUAUUUAGUCAUGACUCUGGACUAACUUUCAAAAAGUAAA